CAGUGUGUAUUUAAUCGGCGUAGGAAGUGGACGCAACGCGUUUGUCCUUAAUCAAAGUUUGUGAUAAUAGUUAAAACUUGUGUUGGUGUGCUUGCUGUUUUUUGUCGUCUAAAGAGACAAAUUUAUUCACGCUGGAUUUUCAAUUUAAUGAACACAGCGUGAUGCGUGCGCCGGCGCCGCAGGGUGCGGUGCCGCUGAGCGCGGUGACGCGCUGGGCGCAGGUGUCGCACGCGCCGCUCACCGACUACAAGGGGAAGGCGCCGCCAUUACACGCCUACCCCGUGUUCCCAUACGAUGACGUCAUCAACAACCGUUUCGCUAUAUGGCAAGGUGACAUAUCGACGCUCGAAGUGGACGCGGUCACGAACACAAGUGAUGAAACGCUGACAGAAUGCAAUGCGAUCAGCGAACGGAUCAUGUCCGCCGCUGGACCGGACCUGAAGGAGGAGAUUAUUACUCGAGCUCAUGAAUGCAGAACGGGCGAGGUGCUGGUGACGCCGGGCUACAUGCUGCGGUGCCGGCACGUGAUCCACACGGUCAGCCCCAAGUACGUGCCCAAGUACCACACGGCGGCCGAGAGCUCGCUGCAUAAUUGCUACAAGAACGUGCUGCACGCGGCGAGCGAGCUGCGCGCGCGCUCGCUGGCGCUGUGCGUCGUCAACACGCCGCGCAGGAACUUCCCGCCCGACGUCGCCGCGCACGUCGCCUUGCGCACGAUCCGGCGCCACCUGGAGGCGAGCGCGCUGCCCGCGCUGGUGGUGCUGGCGGGCGCGUGCGGCGCCGAGCUGGCGCCGUUCGCGGCGCUCGCCCCGCUGUACUUCCCGCGCGCGGCCGGCGAGGCGGACGCGGCGCGCUGGGCGCUGCGCCCGCACGCCGACCCGCCCGAGCGCCGCAUCCGCAUCAUACACAACCCGCACGAGCACGCCGCGCCCGGUGAGUGUGCCGCAUCAUACACAACCCGCACGAGCACGCCGCGCCCGUGGACGACGACGCGUCGACGUGCGACGAGGAGCUCGCGGCGGAGGCGGCGGCCGCGUUCGCGCGCGCCGCGCCCGACACGCAGCGCCUGCUGCCCGCGCGCGACCCGCCGCCGCGCCCGCGCGCGCACACCUCCGACGAAUACGAGCGUCUGUUACGGCGCGCACGCAGCGAGGACCUCAGCGAGGUGUCGGGCAUCGGCUGCCUUUACCAGAGCGGCGUGGACCGACUCGGCCGGCCCGUCGUCGUCUUUAUUGGCAAAUGGUUCCCGAUUGCAGACAUCGAUCUGGAUAAGGCGCUGCUGUACCUCAUCAAGCUGCUGGACCCGAUCGUGCGCGGCGACUACGUGAUCGCGUACUUCCACACGCUGGCCUCGUCCGCCAACCACCCGCCCUUCUCCUGGCUCAAGGAGGUCUACACCGUGCUGCCUUACAAAUAUAAGAAGAACUUGAAGGCGUUUUACAUCGUACAUCCCACGUUUUGGACAAAA
rnacentral:misc_RNA from 1 species